GACGAACGCUGGCGGCGUGCCUAAUACAUGCAAGUCGAGCGGACGGAUGGGAGCUUGCUCCCAGACCGUCAGCGGCGGACGGGUGAGUAACACGUGGGCAACCUGCCUGUAAGACUGGGAUAACUCCGGGAAACCGGGGCUAAUACCGGAUAACUCUUUCCCUCACAUGAGGGAAAGCUGAAAGAUGGCAUCUCGCUAUCACUUACAGAUGGGCCCGCGGCGCAUUAGCUAGUUGGUGAGGUAACGGCUCACCAAGGCGACGAUGGGUAGCCGACCUGGGAGGGUGAUCGGCCACACUGGGACUGAGACACGGCCCAGACUCCUACGGGAGGCAGCAGUAGGGAAUCUUCCGCAAUGGACGAAAGUCUGACGGAGCAACGCCGCGUGAGUGAUGAAGGUUUUCGGAUCGUAAAACUCUGUUGUCAGGGAAGAACAAGUACCGGAGUAACUGCCGGUACCUUGACGGUACCUGACCAGAAAGCCACGGCUAACUACGUG
rnacentral:rRNA from 1 species